rnacentral:lncRNA from 1 species
AGAGAGUUCAGUGUAGAAGAGUUGUGUUUUCAAAUGCAGAAAAUAGUUGUGUAAGCAUGUAUGGAAGUAUUGAAUUGGAAGUGUGCUCAAAGUGUAGAAAGGCAGUCCAUUUUAUAGUAUAUGGAACAAGUAAAAGAAGGUAAGAAAAUAAUUUUAAAAUUCAAUGACAAAAGGGACUUGCAAUCAAUCACACGCUGGCCAAAUGCCUUUUGAAAGAGGAGAAUUUGUCAAAUAAAAAUCAUACAGACAUGCAUCGUAUAGAAAAGAUUGAGGGUCAUAGCAAAAGGUCGAGUCCAAUUCAUAGACUCUGAAUGAGUUCAAGAGAGAACCUAGGGUUCUGAAAUAGAACACUAGUUUGAACACCAGCUCAACUUGUCAAAGACCCUAAACCCUAGGGUUUCUAACGGAGAGGAGGAGGUGAGCCAUUGAAAUGGACUCAGAGGUCCCUUUCAGAGAAUUGCGCGAAAAUAAACAUAGAGAACAGUAGGAGACACAUACAAUAGAAAUCAUUAGGAAAAUAAGGCAGAGACAGUCAUGCGAACUCGGUCUAAAGGCAGAGGAAAAUAUAAAGCAUAGAAAAAGAAACAAAAAUCAAGUUCAUGCAUAGUAGAGAAGAAACACACAAGAUAAACACAGAUGAAACACUAACAAAGAAAAGAAAAUAGAAGACGAAAAAGAAUGUUUUCCAGAACCCUAGUUUUGAAAAUCGAAUAAUUUCAAAAAAGGGAAAAUUGGGGAAAACCCUUAAAUAUCGAAUAUACAACAGAUAUAGCAUAGAUCUAAGAGAAAAAAAAUAGAAAAACCUCGAAUAGCUUUAGGUUUCUCUUAAACCCUAGAAAUGAGAAGGAUUGGAAAGGGCCUGGUCUGGAGUCCAUAUGAGCCACAGCUAGGCUCUUAAGGCUCGAAUACGUCAGAACGGGGUCAGAGAGGUCAUAGAACCUCAUAUCUCUGGAGGAUCUGCUCAAACAUCCUCGUGGUCAGACCUAAAAAUCUCGAACAAUCAUGGCUUAGAGUGAAAGGGUGAGAACAGGCUCUCUAUGACCUGAGAAGCCAUGGACGCCGGUGAGAUUAGUCGGAAAAGACGAAGGAGACGAUUAGGUUUUUCUGAGUGUUUGAGAGCAUUUGAGAGAGUGAGAGAGUUUGAGGGCGGUGGUCGAAGUGAAAAUGAGAGUUAGGGCUAGGUAAUUUGGAAAGGGCCUAGUCUAAAGUCGAUCUGAGCACAGCUAGGCUCUUAAGGCUUGAGUACGUCGGAACGGGGUUGGAGAGGUCAUAAAACCUCAUAUCUAUGGAGGAUCUGCUCGAACACCCUCGAGGUCGGACCUUGAAAUCUCGAACAAACAUGGCUUAGGAGUGAAGGGGUGAGCACUGGUUGUCGAGGGCCUGAGAAGCCAUGGACUCCGGUGAGAUUGGUCAGAAAAGACGAAGGAGACGAUUAGGUUUUUUAGAGUGUUUGAAAGCGUUUGAGAAAGUGAGAGAGUUUGAGGGCGGGGGUCAAAGAGAAAAUGAG